GACGAACGCUGGCGGCGUGCCUAAUACAUGCAAGUAGGACGCAGUUGCGAACGGGUGAGUAAAGCGUAGGUAACUACAUAUUAGAGGGGGAUAACUAUUGGAAACGAUAGCUAAUACCGCAUACUAGUAGAUGGACCGGCGUUGUAUUAGCUAGUAGGUAGGGUAAGGGCCUAACUAGGCGACGAUACAUAGCCGACCGGAGAUGGUGAUCGGCCACACUGCGACGGAGAGACUGCCCAGACUCCCACGAGAGGCAGCAGUAGGGAAUCUGCGGCAAUGGGUGGAACCCUGACCGAGCAACGCCGCGUGAGUGAAGAAGGUUUUCGGAUCGUAAAGCUCUGUUGUUAAGGAAGCGGUACUUAUCCAGAAAGGGACGGCUAACUACGUGCCAGCAGCCGCGGUAAUUC
rnacentral:rRNA from 1 species